rnacentral:lncRNA from 1 species
UGUAUCCAGCCCACCCAUAUAUUACAUAAGAUUUUGGUAGUUUAAUGACUUGUGUCUUGGGCUAUCUGUGGAAGUUGGAUGGCACAUGGUAGUAGUAUUGUCCUUCGUACAUUGUCAGCCCUUGUAUCUCCUCUUUCUUUUGUGUCUUGCAGGCCAGCAUAUAAUUCCGUUCUUAGGUUUCCUUGAUGUAUUUUGAUCCAGUCUAGUAUGUACUGCAAAAUUCAAGCAAAGGCACUGUAAUUUAAGCUUUUUGCACACCAUCAAGUGUUUCAAUUGGUUAGUACGUUGUUAUAUAUGAUUCUUAUAGCAUUCCAAAAUUGUUGCAUGCUUUCUCUUGCCUUUUGCACCUUUUUUUCAUAUCUAAUGUAUAUUUCCUUUGUGCCCAUCUUCUCCGUAAGAGCAUAUUAAUGGACACUGCAUGGCCAUGAAUUUUGAAUGGUUCUAUGGUAUUCUUCUUGGCCACGUAUCUUUGUACUAAACAAUGAUAUCCUAUCCUUUUCUAUUCUCUGUUGUAUCAUUGACAAUCUAGGCUGCAACUUCAGUUGCAGAUGUCAUGUUGUGUCGUCUUAAUUUCAAGUUGUGAUAGUCGCCUUCUUUGAAUUUAUCCUUGCCAUUCUGAGUUUUUUUGCUAGUCUAUUAUCUCUAUCCAACAUAGUUUUAAGCCCCUCAACAAUGUGAGGAUCUGUUGACUCCCUUUUAUCUUCUAAUUUGUAUGCAUUAAUCCUAUUUUGUCCUGUUCAAUUUUCCAAAUUCAGCAUCAGUUUACAGAUUUGUAUUGUCUUAAUAGAACAUACAUAUGUGGUGCUUUUUUCUAUGUCCUCGGUUUUUAUGUUUUGCACUUUGUGUUACAUUUAGUCAUGUACACAUGCAUAAUAGAAAUACCAGGUUUAUGGAUGCCCAAACCGUAUAUCUUGAUUUAAUUUUCUUGUUACUUAUGUCGUGGUCUUACCAGCCUGACUGAUUAUUGAUUUUUUUGUGCCACGGGUUCUCCAUUGCUCUUUUUUAUUCCUGUUCCUGUAUAGUCUUACAUGUAGCUAUCUCUAUUGAAUUGCUCUGCACAAACAUAAAUACCAUUUAGUAGAAAAAUGAGAUUUUUUGCAGCAUGAGCAAUUUAUUACUUGUAAUAGUGGUCAAUGUACAUGAUUAACAUCUGUACAAGAUAUGGUUCCCUGUGGAAAUUCAACAAUGUUGAUUUUGCCUCUGUCUUGGCUAAGCUAAAGUGCACGGAAAUGUGUUCUCAUGUUUUUGAAAAAGAAAUAAUUGAUAUCUACAGCCAGGACCAAAUGCAACAUGUUUUUUUAAUAUUUAUUUAAUAGAGAACCUCAAAUUAGUUGUAGAUCAUAAUGGAAAUGCAUAGGUGGCCUUGCACCAUAACCAUUUGUGUAUGAUAAACUCUGUUAGAUCAAAUAUUUGUACAUCAAAUUGAUUGAUUUAAUGAAGAAUUUUUUGUAAGCUUGGAAAGAAUUGAACACAUAGAUAACACAAUUGAUGUGCAAAGCAGAAGCAAGCUAUAAUGCUGGUUCCAGUAUACCUUACUACAUUUGUGCAUCAUGUAACGGGCAUUUAGCAGUUGAAGUAAAUAUAGUGGAUGAUAAUACACAUAAGGAAAUAACUUUGUAAAUAUUUGCUCACCGCACGUAGUUCAUAGGUUGUUCUUUCGGCAUAGUUGUCGGUCUGGCACAUCUCCAUGCAUGUAUGAUCAAAAGUUGUCUCUUUUUCUUGUCUUGAAGUUUCGUUCUCCUCUCAUAUCUUGUCGUUGUUUAUUGACUGGACUCACAUCAAUCAGAUGACAAUCUGGAAUUAUUUUCCCCACCCAAGCUUAAAUCACAAACCCGCAUGUGCCUAACUUGAAUUUUUGCAUUGCAUAUUUUAGUUGUUAACACUCAUGUGAUAUCUCCUAUUAAAGAUGGUUAGUAAUGGAUCAGCUUGUUGGAUUGCACAUUUGAUGAUUUUAACCAUCUUGGAAGGUUUCUCUCAUUUUUGCUAUGUGGCACACCUUUUGAUUUAUGUUUCUUCCUGCGCAAUGAGAAUGCAUACAUCAUUAAAGAAGAUGAUAUUGUAAAAAUGUUAUCGAGUAUUGCUCAAGGUUAAGAAGAUUUAUGAUUUUGAUUAUUUUCUAGCUUACAGUUUUAUUUCUUUGUUGUCAAAGUAAAAGAGAUCAACUUCCAAGAACAGUGGAUGUUAAGUUCCAAUCUUCAUGUGAAAACACAAAUAUUGUGAGUAUCUUUUACCCCUAGUAUUGUAGUUACAUGCAAUUCCAUAAAUGCAUAUAUUUAGCAAAGAAUAAGAUUGUAAUUGAGGAUUGCAAGUUCAUGUACAAUUAGGACUGAACAAUUGGAAGUGGAACUGACGGCCUGAUCCAAACUUAAAAGCUAUUUGAUUGUGUUGUCAUACCAUGAAUUGAAGACAUUGGUUGUACUGCCAAUUCUGUUGUUGUUGCUGACAAAAGAUUGAACUCUAAGAAUAAGAUGAUUGCAAUGAGGAUAUGAAGUUGAUGUACAAUAACCAUUGAGAAGUUGCAAGGGGAGCUUAGGACAUGAUUUAAAACUAAUUGAUUGUGUUUUCAUACCUUCAGUUGAAGACGUAAGUUGUAGUGUCAGAUUCUUUCUUGUUGUUGAGAAAAGAUUGAACUUUAAAUCAGUUCUAUAUGAUCUCUUCAGAUGGUACUUAUUGGAGAUGGUCUGCUCGCCCAAUGGAGCCGAUGGCGCAAUCAAGGAGAUUGGGGCGCUCGCUCGUGAGAAGUUUUUAGGGAAAGCCAUUUGUGGCUGUGUAUAUUAAUUUGGAAUAAUAUCUACAUAAUCAAUUCAACCUAUCAUGAUUAUUGUUUAUGGGAUUGUAAGAUUGAUUGUGAGAUUUGUGUGUUAGAAUGUGCGACGAAUGGUAAGAUUGACCGUCAUAUGAGUGCAUAGGACAUGGGAAUGAAAACAAAAGGGUGUAGGCUUUGAUAGUUUGGGAUUAUGAAUCAACGCACGUACCUUGGCUUGGGCCGUUGCUGA